ensembl:lncRNA
GCUCACUGCCGCGUGCAUGCCAAUUAGGCCCUAAUCUGAUUUCUGUUCUAUCUCUGCGAACCCCAUUAAAACCCAAUUCUGCUUAUUAACAACAGCUUUCUCGCUUCGCAGUGCCUCGCCCUCCCAGGGUUGCUCCGGCGCUGUGAGGAUCGGGGCUCCGCGCGCCGGGCCGCAGGGGACCCCCUUCUCCGGGGCCGCCGCGCCCGCCCCUCCGCCCCCGGAUGCGCCACCUCCCCACCUCUAGAGCCCCACCUCCCCGCGUUGCCCAGGCCGGGGUCGGGACCCAGGCCCGGCGCCCCCAACGAGUCACGGGACCCCUUCUUCGGGAACAAUGGGAUCGUAGAAAGCUGGAACUGGGCGUUGUUGGGAACUCGGAGGUCAUCAAGCCCCGCCUCCCACGCCCUGCAGGAAUUCCCUAGACGCUGGGCGAUCCUCAGGCUGUUCCCGGUACGGGGAGCUCACUCCCUCUCUCAAGGAAACCUGGUCGGCUUCAAGUUCCCGGCGCCUUCGCUGUGUGACAUUAAUCAGAGCUCUGGACCUCUCCGGUCCGAAGUAGCUUCAUCUGUACCCCGGGGGCGCGAUGAUAAUGCUUGCCUCCUGAGACUGUUGAAGGAUAAGAAGACACCGGCAAAGCAUAAGAGCGCCGGAGUGAGGCAGCUGUAAGGAGCAGCACUACGGAUCCAUCUAGCUAACUCAGAAAUGAGGAUGAAGAGCUAAUAACAGUCAAGUGUUUGGAGUUCUUGGGAAGAAAGAUUCAACAUCUACACAAGGUGCUGCUGGAUGGAAGAAGAGUGGUGGCGAGCCAGGAGGACUGCCGGCUGGGACUAUAGGACACCUGCCCUUCUCUCCACUACGCAACAACUCUUGGGUCCAUUUGUAUGUUUCAUUCCCUUGAACACUUUAAUUUAAAUAAACAGUUUCUUAUAGUUUUAAAGCUUGA